GAUGAACGCUGGCGGCGUGCCUAAUACAUGCCAGUCGAGCGAACGGACGAGAAGCUUGCUUCUCUGAUGUUAGCGGCGGACGGGUGAGUAACACGUGGAUAACCUACCUAUAAGACUGGGAUAACUUCGGGAAACCGGAGCUAAUACCGGAUGAUAUUUUGAACCGCAUGGUUCAAAAGUGAAAGACGGUCUUGCUGUCACUUAUAGAUGGAUCCGCGCUGCAUUAGCUAGUUGGUAAGGUAACGGCUUACCAAGGCAACGAUGCAUAGCCGACCUGAGAGGGUGAUCGGACACACUGGAACUGAGACACAGUCCAGACUCCUACGGGAGGCAGCAGUAGGGAAUCUUCCGCAAUGGACGAAUGCCUGACGGAGCAACGCCGCGUGAGUGAUGAAGGUCUUCGGAUCGUAAAACUCUGUUAUUAGGGAAGAACAUAUGUGUAAGUAACUGUGCACAUCUUGACGGUACCUAAUCAGAAAGCCACGGCUAACUACGUG
rnacentral:rRNA from 1 species